rnacentral:rRNA from 1 species
CCUACGGGAGGCAGCAGUGGGGAAUAUUGCACAAUGGGGGAAACCCUGAUGCAGCGACGCCGCGUGAGUGAAGACGUAAUUCGUGAUGUAAAGCUCUAUCAUCAGGGAAGAAAAUGACGGUACCUGAGGAAGAAGCCCCGGCUAACUACGUGCCAGCAGCCGCGGUAAUACGUAGGGGGCAAGCGUUAGCCGGAUUUACUGGGUGUAAAGGGAGCGUAGACGGACGUUUAAGUCUGGUGUGAAAGACGCGGGCUCAACCCGCGGACUGCUUUGGAAACUGUACGGCGGGAGUGCAGGAGAGGAAAAUGGAAUUCCUAGUGUAGCGGUGAAAUGCGGAGAUAUUAGGAGGAACACCAGUGGCGAAGGCGAUUUACUGGACUGUAACUGACGUUGAGGCUCGAAAGCGUGGGGAGCAAACAGGAUUAGAUACCCGUGUAGUC